AAGUAGGUUAAUGGGUGAGUAACACGUGGGCAAUCUGCCCUGCAAUCUGGGACAAGCCCUGGAAACGGGGUCUAAUACCGGAUAUCACUUUUCCUCGCAUGGGGGAGGGUUGAAAGCUCCGGCGGUGCAGGAUGAGCCCGCGGCCUAUCAGCUUGUUGGUGGGGUGAUGGCCUACCAAGGCGACGACGGGUAGCCGGCCUGAGAGGGCGACCGGCCACACUGGGACUGAGACACGGCCCAGACUCCUACGGGAGGCAGCAGUGGGGAAUAUUGCACAAUGGGCGGAAGCCUGAUGCAGCGACGCCGCGUGAGGGAUGACGGCCUUCGGGUUGUAAACCUCUUUCAGCAGGGAAGAAGCGUGAGUGACGGUACCUGCAGAAGAAGCGCCGGCUAACUACGUGCCAGCAGCCGCGGUAAUACGUAGGGCGCAAGCGUUGUCCGGAAUUAUUGGGCGUAAAGAGCUCGUAGGCGGCUUGUCGCGUCGGUUGUG
rnacentral:rRNA from 2 species